UACGUAGGGUGCGAGCGUUAAUCGGAAUUACUGGGCGUAAAGCGUGCGCAGGCGGUUUGCUAAGACAGGUGUGAAAUCCCCGGGCUUAACCUGGGAACUGCGCUUGUGACUGGCAGGCUAGAGUACGGCAGAGGGGGUGGAAUUCCUGGUGUAGCAGUGAAAUGCGUAGAUAUCAGGAGGAACACCGAUGGCGAAGGCAGCCCCCUGGGCCUGUACUGACGCUCAUGCACGAAAGCGUGGGGAGCAAACAGGAUUAGAUACCCGU
rnacentral:rRNA from 1 species